rnacentral:rRNA from 1 species
CCAGACUCCUACGGGAGGCAGCAGUGGGGAAUAUUGGACAAUGGGGGGAACCCUGAUCCAGCGACGCCGCGUGAGUGAAGAAGUAUUUCGGUAUGUAAAGCUCUAUCAGCAGGGAAGAAAGAAAUGACGGUACCUGACUAAGAAGCCCCGGCUAACUACGUGCCAGCAGCCGCGGUAAUACGUAGGGGGCAAGCGUUAUCCGGAUUUACUGGGUGUAAAGGGCGUGUAGCCGGGCCGGCAAGUCAGAUGUGAAAUCCCAAGGCUCAACCUUGGAACUGCAUUUGAAACUGUUGGUCUUGAGUAUCGGAGAGGCAGGCGGAAUGCCUAGUGUAGCGGUGAAAUGCGUAGAUAUUAGGAGGAACACCAGUGGCGGAGGCGGUCUGCUGGACAGCAACUGACGCUGAGGCGCGAAAGCGUGGGGAGCAAACAGGAUUAGAUACCCGGGUA